rnacentral:rRNA from 1 species
GGGUUGUGAGGUUAAGCGACUAAGCGUACACGGUGGAUGCCCUGGCAGUCAGAGGCGAUGAAGGGCGUGCUAAUCUGCGAUAAGCGCCGGUAAGGUGAUAUGAACCGUUAUAACCGGCGAUACCCGAAUGGGGAAACCCAGUGUGAUUCGUCACACUAUCAUUAACUGAAUCCAUAGGUUAAUGAGGCGAACCGGGGGAACUGAAACAUCUAAGUACCCCGAGGAAAAGAAAUCAACCGAGAUUCCCCCAGUAGCGGCGAGCGAACGGGGAGGAGCCCAGAGCCUGAAUCAGCAUGUGUGUUAGUGGAAGCGUCUGGAAAGGCGCGCGAUACAGGGUGACAGCCCCGUACACAAAAGCGCAUGUGCUGUGAGCUCGAUGAGUAGGGCGGGACACGUGGUAUCCUGUCUGAAUAUGGGGGGACCAUCCUCCAAGGCUAAAUACUCCUGACUGACCGAUAGUGAACCAGUACCGUGAGGGAAAGGCGAAAAGAACCCCGGCGAGGGGAGUGAAAAAGAACCUGAAACCGUGUACGUACAAGCAGUGGGAGCCCCACCACUAAGCCAGUGGUGAACUCCACAUCCGCAUCCUUUGCUGAGGAUACGGUUAACGGAGCGAAAGCGACGUUCAACCGCAAAACAAGCAGAGGGGGCUUAGUGGUGGGGUGACUGCGUACCUUUUGUAUAAUGGGUCAGCGACUUAUAUUCUGUAGCAAGGUUAACCGAAUAGGGGAGCCGGAGGGAAACCGAGUCUUAAUUGGGCGUUAAGUUGCAGGGUAUAGACCCGAAACCCGGUGAUCUAGCCAUGGGCAGGUUGAAGGUUGGGUAACACUAACUGGAGGACCGAACCGACUAAUGUUGAAAAAUUAGCGGAUGACCUGUGGCUGGGGGUGAAAGGCCAAUCAAACCGGGAGAUAGCUGGUUCUCCCCGAAAGCUAUUUAGGUAGCGCCUCGUGAAUUCAUCUCCGGGGGUAGAGCACUGUUUCGGCUAGGGGGCCAUCCCGGCUUACCAACCCGAUGCAAACUGCGAAUACCGGAGAAUGUUAUCACGGGAGACACACGGCGGGUGCUAACGUCCGUCGUGAAGAGGGAAACAACCCAGACCGCCAGCUAAGGUCCCAAAGUCAUGGUUAAGUGGGAAACGAUGUGGGAAGGCCCAGACAGCCAGGAUGUUGGCUUAGAAGCAGCCAUCAUUUAAAGAAAGCGUAAUAGCUCACUGGUCGAGUCGGCCUGCGCGGAAGAUGUAACGGGGCUAAACCAUGCACCGAAGCUGCGGCAGCGACGCUGAUGCGUUGUUGGGUAGGGGAGCGUUCUGUAAGCCUGCGAAGGUGACCUGUGAGGGUUGCUGGAGGUAUCAGAAGUGCGAAUGCUGACAUAAGUAACGAUAAAGCGGGUGAAAAGCCCGCUCGCCGGAAGACCAAGGGUUCCUGUCCAACGUUAAUCGGGGCAGGGUGAGUCGACCCCUAAGGCGAGGCCGAAAGGCGUAGUCGAUGGGAAACGGGUUAAUAUUCCCGUACUUGGUGUUACUGCGAAGGGGGGACGGAGAAGGCUAUGUUGGCCGGGCGACGGUUGUCCCGGUUUAAGCGUGUAGGUGUGUGUUCCAGGUAAAUCCGGUUCACUUUAACACUGAGGCGUGACGACGAGGCACUACGGUGCUGAAGCAACAAAUGCCCUGCUUCCAGGAAAAGCCUCUAAGCAUCAGGUAACACGAAAUCGUACCCCAAACCGACACAGGUGGUCAGGUAGAGAAUACCAAGGCGCUUGAGAGAACUCGGGUGAAGGAACUAGGCAAAAUGGUGCCGUAACUUCGGGAGAAGGCACGCUGACACGUAGGUGAAGUGAUUUACUCAUGGAGCUGAAGUCAGUCGAAGAUACCAGCUGGCUGCAACUGUUUAUUAAAAACACAGCACUGUGCAAACACGAAAGUGGACGUAUACGGUGUGACGCCUGCCCGGUGCCGGAAGGUUAAUUGAUGGGGUCAGCGUAAGCGAAGCUCCUGAUCGAAGCCCCGGUAAACGGCGGCCGUAACUAUAACGGUCCUAAGGUAGCGAAAUUCCUUGUCGGGUAAGUUCCGACCUGCACGAAUGGCGUAAUGAUGGCCAGGCUGUCUCCACCCGAGACUCAGUGAAAUUGAACUCGCUGUGAAGAUGCAGUGUACCCGCGGCAAGACGGAAAGACCCCGUGAACCUUUACUAUAGCUUGACACUGAACAUUGAGCCUUGAUGUGUAGGAUAGGUGGGAGGCUUUGAAGUGUGGACGCCAGUCUGCAUGGAGCCGACCUUGAAAUACCACCCUUUAAUGUUUGAUGUUCUAACGUGGACCCGUAAUCCGGGUUGCGGACAGUGUCUGGUGGGUAGUUUGACUGGGGCGGUCUCCUCCUAAAGAGUAACGGAGGAGCACGAAGGUUGGCUAAUCCUGGUCGGACAUCAGGAGGUUAGUGCAAUGGCAUAAGCCAGCUUGACUGCGAGCGUGACGGCGCGAGCAGGUGCGAAAGCAGGUCAUAGUGAUCCGGUGGUUCUGAAUGGAAGGGCCAUCGCUCAACGGAUAAAAGGUACUCCGGGGAUAACAGGCUGAUACCGCCCAAGAGUUCAUAUCGACGGCGGUGUUUGGCACCUCGAUGUCGGCUCAUCACAUCCUGGGGCUGAAGUAGGUCCCAAGGGUAUGGCUGUUCGCCAUUUAAAGUGGUACGCGAGCUGGGUUUAGAACGUCGUGAGACAGUUCGGUCCCUAUCUGCCGUGGGCGCUGGAGAACUGAGGGGGGCUGCUCCUAGUACGAGAGGACCGGAGUGGACGCAUCACUGGUGUUCGGGUUGUCAUGCCAAUGGCACUGCCCGGUAGCUAAAUGCGGAAGAGAUAAGUGCUGAAAGCAUCUAAGCACGAAACUUGCCCCGAGAUGAGUUCUCCCUGAGACUUAGAGUCUCCUGAAGGAACGUUGAAGACGACGACGUUGAUAGGCCGGGUGUGUAAGCGCAGCGAUGCGUUGAGCUAACCGGUACUAAUGAACCGUGAGGCUUAACCUUACAACGCCGAAG